rnacentral:rRNA from 1 species
UGCAUAUCAAUAAGCGGAGGAAAAGAAACUAACAAGGAUUCCCCUAGUAACGGCGAGUGAAGAGGGAAGAGCUCAAAUUUUAAAUCCGCUUGUUCGCAAGGCCGAGUUGUAAUUUGAAGAAGCGUUUUCUUGGGCUCGCUGCCGGUAGAAGUUCUUUGGAACAGGGCAUCAUAGAGGGUGACAAUCCCGUCUGUGACCGGUCGCGCGGUUCAUCUACGAUACGCUUUCAAAGAGUCGAGUUGUUUGGGAUUGCAGCUCCAAACGGGUGGUAAACAUCACCUAAGGCUAAAUAUUGGCGAGAGACCGAUAGCGAACAAGUACCGUGAGGGAAAGAUGAAAAGAACUUUGAAAAGAGAGUUAAACAGUACGUGAAAUUGUUGAAAGGGAAACGAUUGAAGUCAGUCGUGCUGGCGCGAAAUCAGCUCGACCACUAGGGGAUCACGGGCCGUGACGAGCCUCAAAACUGCCACGACUUGUGAUUGCUUAGUGGCCUGGUGCACUUUCGUGUCAGCUGGUUAACAUCAAUUUCGAUCGUCAUAAAAAGGCUGGAGGGACGUGGCUCCUUCGGGAGUGUUAUAACCUUUGGCGGAGUGUGGUGGUCGGGAUUGAGGUUUGCAACGAAUACCUUCAGGGCUGCUCCACCUGGCCUCUCAUCGGCAUCCUGGCGGCGACAGCUUGCUGACGUUGUUAGGAUCAGCCUUCGAACAGGCUAGAGUGUGAGCAAAUUCGUUAAGGAUGUUGACGUA